UAAGGUGAGGGUAAGGUUAGGGUUUCAGUUGGGGUGAUGGUAACGUUAGGGUUAGGUUAAGGUUAUACUGUUGUAUAUUAGUAACUUUCACAGACUUUGGGCCUGAUUUACUCAAUGUUUGUGUGAGUAAAAAUGUGCAUAAGCACCAUUACACUCACAAAUACACCUGCAUGCUGAUUUACUAACAUUGCACAACAA